rnacentral:lncRNA from 1 species
GAGAAGAAUAACAAGGAGAAGAAGGUGGAGAUGGGGCUUACCCCAAAAAGGGGAAGAAAUCUAGACUUAUGAGAGAAUGAAAAUGAAGAAAAUGACUACCAGCAAAAGCACAAAGGCAUGGAAGGACUCAUCAACAUCAAGAACCCCAAGCAGGUAGGAUAGACAACCAGAAAGGUCAAACAAGUGGAUCUGGACAGGCUAAAGGAGCUUUUAAGGAGAAAAUGCACUAGCAGGAGAGACAGAGCAAGCCAAGGUGGGCCUUGCCUGGCUGGUGAUCAUCUGGAAACAGUGGGAGAAGGCUGCAAGGAAGAAGGAAGUGGAGAGGAAAGCAAAAUAUGGUGCCACAUUGUUGGGAAAAUGAACAUGGUUGCUCCCCUUGAAUA